UUUAAUAGAAGUCCUCGCCAGUCAGUCAGCCAGUGUGUUGCUAGCAGCGGUGAGGGAAGGAUCUCGUUGUGUGUUGCCCAGGUGUUGCCGCGGCCCACACGUGACAGAAUGACGCUACUGAACAACACUUGGACGCUCCUGCUGCUGUGUUUCUUGGCAGGGCUUGGCUUGUCGGCGGGGCAGGACAUUCACCAGAUGCAGUACCACCUCGAGAAGCUGACCAGCGUUCGACACCCGUUCGGCGCUGACCCCAACGCGAGGGAGGCCGCGAGGAGCUACAUCAAGGAACAGUUUCAGCAGUACGGACUCGAAGUGGCGGUUCAUACUUUCAGCACGACGGUCUGGCACCAGGGACAGCAGAGGACGGUGGCCGGCGAGAACGUGAUCGGGGUGUCUGAGGGCGCUGGUGGGGGGCCGCUGCUGCUGGUGGGCGCCGACUAUGACACCGCCCUCAACAGACACCCCCUCGAGGACAACGGAGCGGGGGUGGGGGCGAUGCUGGAGGUGGCGAGGAACUACAUGGCUGCCACGGGGCCUGACGGGGUCUUCACGAGGAACAGCACCGUCAUCUUCGUGGCUUUCGAUCUCAACACGCUGGAAUAUGACGGCAGCACAGGUGAGCCCGGCGCCUACCACUUCGUGCACCAGUGGCUGUGGCCGCACCUCAACCAGUCACUGCUGAAGUUCGCUGGGGCCAUCAUCCUGGACUCCAUCUCGAAGAUCAACAUGGACCAAAACUCGCAGUACCUUCCCCAGGACUUCGGCAAGGCGUUCCCUUCGGCGUACAAGAGGAUCAGCGAGGACGGGAACAAGGGCGACUUUCUGGCCCUGGUGACACGCGGAACAUCCCAGAGCAAGAGACUCAAAGACACCUUCACCGGGAACUACCUGAAGCACCGCAAGGCCGGGCUGAUAAGGCUGCAGGAGUUGGUGGUGCACACGAACUCGCCGGUGUCCAUCCCCACCCUCGAGAUGAUAAACCACCAGGCACACUACCAUUUCUGGACCUUCCAACCCUCCGACCAGCUCACCGCCCUGCCCGCCCUCCUCCUCACCGACACUGACUUCUACCGCAAAAGCUCCGAAGAGUGCCCGCUGCCCUGCUCCGCCGAGGCCUUCCUGACGAGGCAACGCAAACAGUCCCUCGCCCUCACAUGUGGCGUCCUGUACACCCUCCUUGACAUGCAGGCGGAGAGACGGCGACCAGGCGAGACGGGGGAGGUCACGAGUGGUGCAUCUGUCGGCGUGACUCUGGCGAUGACGUGGCUGCUGGCGGCGGUGGCGGCGAUCCUGCACUGACCUAAACGCACACACACACACACACACACACACAAACAAACAAACACUGACCUGCACGCCCACACACAUAUAAACACACACACACACACACACACACACACACACACAUAUACACACACAAACCCUGAUCUGUACACACACAAAGAAAAAAUUACCCAUACACGAAAGAGAAAAAGAAAAACUGACCCGCACAAUCCCCCUCCCCCCCCCCCCCCACACACACAAUGUAAUAUAGUUCUCAAUAACUCCUUUUCUUAACUCUAAUAAGCCCAACAAGUCUUGAGCUAUAGAGUAAAGGGGUUCAGUUCCUCCCACCACUAAUGCCUUAACUAAACCCUGACAAAGAGCAAACCUUCAGUAUUAUUAACUCUGUGUGACGCCGAUUUCUAGGGCAAGAACAAAUGGGUACUUGUUCCUACUUGUACUUACUGCAUGUUUUUACGACGAAAUUGUGUAUAUGUAAAGUUUACGUAUGUAUGUGUAUGUGUAUGUGUCUUUGUAUGUAUUAUGGAUAGAUGUGUGUGUGUGUGUGUGUGUGUAUGUAUGUAUGGAAUGGCUUUUUUAGGGUACAAUGUAGUGUGUUUAUCUAUCUGUUCAUACAUAAGUAGAUAGUUCUUUUGGUUUUAACAGGGGGCAUUUUUUCUUUUUUUUCAUAUAUCAGGUUCUUUGUAUCUUUCUUCUCUUUUUCUCCUUCUUAUCCUCUUCCUUCUCCUUCUUUUUCUUUCUUUGUACUUUAGUUUUUUUUCCUCUCCUACUUCUUAUUUUUUAUCUGUAUCUUUCUCUUCCAUCUUCUUUCUCUCCUCUCCUCCUUCUCUUUUCUUUCUUCUUUCUCUUCAUUUGAUUUUCCAUUCUCCAUGAAAUAAAGAAGAAUGUAAUGCUUCCGUAAGAUCUGGUGAAAGAGUAACCAGUGUCAAUGUUAGUGAGGUCUUUGUGUGACCAGAAAACAAACACUAAAUCCCCGUUCACACUGUGCCGACUCUGGGCCACGACAACCCAGUGACUUGGCUCCCUUCACACGGUGCCGAAUCAGCAUCCGGCGAUCGUUUCUAGACCUCUUUCCGACCAUGUGCGACCCUUUCAUAUCAGUAUUUCACACCCAAGACCUCGCAUACCCCGAGUCGCUGGGUUGUCGUGGCCCAGAGUCGGCAUUUUUUUUACCAAAGACUUAUUCCUAUUCUUAAGAAACCCAACCAGUCUCAUCCUUGUCCAAACACAGUACCACCAUCACCCAUCUCCCCCUGUAUAAAUAUUUUGAAGCAGCCAUUUAUAGUAGAAGUAGUAGCAGCAGCAGCAGCAGUAGUAGUAGUAGUAGUAGUAGUAGUAGUAGUAGUAGUAGUAACUGUAGUAGUAGUAGUAGUAGUAGUAGUAGUAGUAGCAGCUGCGGGCCUUAUAGUAGUGGUAGUUGCUGUAAUCACUGAUUUUGUUCGCUGCAUAAAACAAAUAAGUUAAAAACAGGAAAAAAUAAGUCAAGAUUUUGUAUUCAGUAUGACACAGUACUACAUACCACGGACAAACAAAAAAAUAUAAAUAGACAAUAAAUACAAUGAAAAAAUACAUAUAA